GAGAGAAGUAAGGAAAUUGCCCUUUUUUUGUACGGUCUAGUCCAACUGUACAGGAGCACACGUUACAUUUUGUUAAACAAUAUCCAAGUUAGAAAAUUAAGUGUCAAGAUUAUGUCGUGUCUAUACAGAACUAAUUACGCAGGAUUACUUGGUUCCCUUGGUAUAUUUGAGUGAAAGACGGACAAAAUGAUAUUCUUGUGCAUACCUCCAAAAGCAAUGUCCCCUUCAAUAUUUUGCUUCCUGGUGCAAAACUUAUUUGUUUCACAACAUGGUUACAGCAACUGUACAAAUGUAUUUAACUGUACUUCAAUUGAAUCAAACAGCCUACAGAAGCACCAAAAACUGAGUUAUAAUCUCUGAUCAUAAAUUCAAUGCAUGAACUGUAUAAUAAUUUAACUGCCAAGACUCAUGCCACAUUACCAUGGUGACUGAUGUCAUCUUCAACGGCCAAAUGUACAACAGUUUGUAAAAUCCAAUACCAACAGGAUGUAAAAGGAUUUCUGGCAGAUCCACAUCAAGGAAUUAACAAGCAUUCUGAAGAAUCACUAGAACAGGACAUUUAUCUCCAUGAAUCUGUUUAAUAUCAACUCAGUUCAAAGCAUGACCAAUCAAAUUUUCAUCUCCUCCCUAUCUUGAUGAGACUUUAAAUUUAUCCACUUGUUGAAUAUGGAGCUUAAACUGGUCAACCAAGGUAUGCAAAAAAAGUGAGGCCUCAGAAGUUUGCCCUUGGAAGAGGAACUGAUCCAAUUUCUCUGAGUACCUGACAGCAAUUUGGAGUUCCUGUUCAUUCAAAUUGCAGGGCAUAACAUUGCUCCAGUCAUGCAAUCUUCCUUCCAAGCAAAGACCAUGUACCAAUGCGACAAAAGAAACAGGAUCAGGAGAGAAACCCUUGUUCAUCAUUUUAUCACGCAACUGCAAAGCAGUUUUCACCAUUCUAUGUUGGCAAAGGCAGAUGAGGAUAGAAUUAUAGGCAGCAGUCCUCUGAUCCCAUCCAUCUGAUGUCAUCAUUCGAAAAAAUUCCAGGACUAAAGAAUUCCCAUUCUGUUGAGACUCAAUUAUUUUGUCAGAAGUUGUAAUUCCAGUGUUAUGUGUUAAGCCAUUUAUCAGAUAGUUGAAGGUAACAUCAUUAGGAAUACAUUUGUUUAUCAACAUUAGUUCAAAAAAGGAGCAAGCUUUUAAAAGUUUACCCUCCUUACAAAAGCAACCAAUAAGUAUAGUGUAUGUUACCACAUUAGGCUCCAAUCCACAAGAUCGCAUCUCUUCAAAAGUUGUUUCAGCCAUAUUGAAGUCUCCACUGCGACAAAAUCCAUUAAUUAGAGAUGUAUAAGUUACAACAUUUGGUUUGCAUGUCCUUUUCACCAUCAGCCCAAAUAUUCUCAGUGCUCCAUGCAAGUUGUUCUGCUUUACAUACCCAUCUAUGAUUGUGGAAUACGUGAAUUGAUCUGGAGAAUGAACCUCUUCUAUCAUUCUUUUAAAGCAUAGCAGUGCAUCGUUCAUCCUUCCAGAUUUGCAAUAACCCUUAAUCAUGGCAUUAUAACCAACAAUGCCAGGAUCUAUACCCUUUUCAAUUGUGAGCUCAAAGAGCUUUUUGGCCUCAUCAAGAUCACCAUGUCUUACAAAUCCAUCAAUCAAAGUGGCAUUAACAAAUGCAUC
rnacentral:misc_RNA from 1 species